rnacentral:rRNA from 1 species
AUUGAACGCUGGCGGCAUGCUUUACACAUGCAAGUCGAACGGCAGCGCGGGCUUCGGCCUGGCGGCGAGUGGCGAACGGGUGAGUAAUACAUCGGAACGUGCCCAGUAGUGGGGGAUAGCUCGGCGAAAGCCGGAUUAAUACCGCAUACGGCCUGAGGGUGAAAGCGGGGGAUCUUCGGACCUCGCGCUAUUGGAGCGGCCGAUGGCAGAUUAGCUAGUUGGUGGGGUAAAGGCCUACCAAGGCGACGAUCUGUAGCUGGUCUGAGAGGACGACCAGCCACACUGGGACUGAGACACGGCCCAGACUCCUACGGGAGGCAGCAGUGGGGAAUUUUGGACAAAGGGCGAAAGCCUGAUCCAGCAAUGCCGCGUGUGUGAUGAAGGCCUUCGGGUUGUAAAGCACUUUUGGCGGGAACGAAAAGGACUGUGCCAAUACCACGGUUCGAUGACGGUACCCGCAGAAUAAGCACCGGCUAACUACGUG